rnacentral:rRNA from 1 species
UACGUAGGGUGCAAGCGUUAAUCGGAAUUACUGGGCGUAAAGCGUGCGCAGGCGGUUAUGCAAGACAGAUGUGAAAUCCCCGGGCUCAACCUGGGAACUGCAUUUGUGACUGCAUGGCUAGAGUGCGGCAGAGGGGGAUGGAAUUCCGCGUGUAGCAGUGAAAUGCGUAGAUAUGCGGAGGAACACCGAUGGCGAAGGCAAUCCCUGGGCCUGCACUGACGCUCGAUGACACGAAAGCGUGGGGAGCAAACAGG